UACGUAGGGGGCAAGCGUUGUUCGGAAUCAUUGGGCGUAAAGAGCGCGUAGGCGGCCCGAUAAGUCCGCUGUGAAAGUCCAGGGCUCAACCCUGGGAUGCCGGUGGAUACUGUCGGGCUCGAGUCCGGAAGAGGAGUGUGGAAUUCCUGGUGUAGCGGUGAAAUGCGUAGAUAUCAGGAGGAAUACCGGUGGCGAAAGCGACUCUCUGGACGGCAACUGACGCUGAGGCACGAAAGCGUGGGGAGCAAACAGG
rnacentral:rRNA from 1 species